rnacentral:rRNA from 1 species
GACGUAGGGGCCGAGCGUUGUCCGGAAUUACUGGGCGUAAAGCGCGCGCAGGCGGAUUGUCGCAUCAUCGGUGAAACGCCCCCCGCUCAACGGGGGAGGGUCCGGUGUGAUGGGCAGUCUGGAGGCAGGGAGAGGCGAGUGGAAUUCCGGGUGUAGUGGUGAAAUGCGUAGAGAUCCGGAGGAACACCAGUGGCGAAGGCGGCUCGCUGGACCUGACCUGACGCUGAGGCGCGAAGGCGUGGGGAGCGAACGGG